AUUGGAGGAGCCUGGUUGCCCGCCUGCUCUCUUUAGACUAUGGCCCCAUGUUGAAACGCUUGAUUUUCCCCUGCGAAGACACGAGAGCCGGGUGAUUCGGUGCUUUCCCUGUUUGAGCAGUGAUACCCCAGAUAGCUAUGCCAUGGAGCCCAUUCGUAUAAUGAAAGACUAUGGGAAAGACUUUGGCUCCAUGGAAAUUGAACUGUAUGUGUGUGCUCUGAGCGCAAUUCAGUAAUAAUGUGCGCUCAGAUCUGAGCUAUCUGGGGAUAUGUUGAAUGUACCUGUUUU